CACCGUGUUAGCUAUAGUGGCCACGGGAUCUCCAACUGCAUGCAAGAGCAACCUGGAGAGACUUGGACAGAACAGGUCAGCCUAAUACCUGCAGCUGCCACUCGUCUUUCCUAUUGUG
ensembl:snoRNA